rnacentral:rRNA from 1 species
AACGCUAGCUACAGGCUUAACACAUGCAAGUCGAGGGGCAGCAUGGUCUUAGCUUGCUAAGGCCGAUGGCGACCGGCGCACGGGUGAGUAACACGUAUCCAACCUGCCGUCUACUCUUGGACAGCCUUCUGAAAGGAAGAUUAAUACAAGAUGGCAUCAUGAGUCCGCAUGUUCACAUGAUUAAAGGUAUUCCGGUAGACGAUGGGGAUGCGUUCCAUUAGAUAGUAGGCGGGGUAACGGCCCACCUAGUCUUCGAUGGAUAGGGGUUCUGAGAGGAAGGUCCCCCACAUUGGAACUGAGACACGGUCCAAACUCCUACGGGAGGCAGCAGUGAGGAAUAUUGGUCAAUGGGCGCAGGCCUGAACCAGCCAAGUAGCGUGAAGGAUGACUGCCCUAUGGGUUGUAAACUUCUUUUAUAAAGGAAUAAAGUCGGGUAUGUAUACCCGUUUGCAUGUACUUUAUGAAUAAGGAUCGGCUAACUCCGUGCCAGCAGCCGCGGUAAUACGGAGGAUCCGAGCGUUAUCCGGAUUUAUUGGGUUUAAAGGGAGCGUAGAUGGAUGUUUAAGUCAGUUGUGAAAGUUUGCAGCUCAACCGUAAAAUUACAGUUGAUACUGGAUAUCUUGAGUGCAGUUGAGGCAGGCGGAAUUCGUGGUGUAGCGGUGAAAUGCUUAGAUAUCACGAAGAACUCCGAU